rnacentral:rRNA from 1 species
CUGACCUGCCCAGUGAUUAAUUUAACGGCCGCGGUAUAUUGACCGUGCAAAGGUAGCAUAAUCAUUAGUCUUUUAAUAGAGGGCUGGAAUGAAAGGUUUAACGAGGAACUGACUGUCUCAUUUUAUUUGUUUUAAAAUUUAAUUUUUUAGUUAAAAAGCUAAAAUUUUAUUGGAAGACGAGAAGACCCUAUAGAUCUUUAUAAAAUUAUGAUUAAUUAUUAUUAUAUGAAUAUAAUUAUUUAUUUUUUUAUUUUGUUGGGGUGACAAAAAUAUAUGAUUAACUUUUUUAUUUACUUAACAUUAAUUUAUGAAUAUAUGAUCCAUUAUUAGUGAUUAUUAGAUUAAGUUACCUUAGGGAUAACAGCGUAAUCCUCCUCCAGAGUUCAUAUUUACAGGAUGGGCUUGCGACCUCGAUGUUGGAUUAAGAUAAUAAUCAGGUGUAGCCGCUUGAUUUAUAGGUCUGUUCGACCUUUAA